rnacentral:rRNA from 1 species
UACGUAGGGGGGCUAGCGUUGUCCGGAAUCAUUGGGCGUAAAGAGCGCGUAGGCUGCUCGGUAAGUCCGCUGUAAAAAGUCAAAAGGCUUAACCUUUGAAUGUCGAUGGAUACUGCCGGGCUAGAGUCCGGAAGAGGCGAGUGGAAUUCCUGGUGUAGCGGUGAAAUGCGUAGAUAUCUGGAGGAACACCGGUGGCGAAGGCGGCAUCCUGGACCGGCAUUGACGCUGAGGCGCGAAAGCCAGGGGAGCAAACAGG